GUUCGUGAGAGAAAGUUGAAGAGGCGGAGCCGACGAAGGAGUUGAAGUUCGCCUUGGAGGAUCUUCCAGCAAGCUGGUUCUCGAGGUCAGCGAGUGUUCUGAGAUGUUGUUGCGGAAGAGCAGGAUGAAGGAGGCGUGCUUAGAGGCGAGGAGGUUGAGGUAGAAGGUCUUGAAGAGUGUGUGGCAAGGGUCGGUGGUGCCCUGGAAGACGCAGACGUGGUAGCCGCUGGCGAAGGAGGUGGAAGGCAUGAAACAACAAUGUUAUGCGGGUCGGGCAUUGCAGCAAACACGACCCAACCACAGGAACGAAUUGCCUCCCCUCUCAAGAGUAACGAAGCUCAUCUCUAAUCUCUCUUCCUGCCGCCGCAAGCUCAUAUGGUCUCCUCUGUCAAGUUCACGACGGUGAGGCAAAGGCAAGGCGUCUCACGCUGACGACGUUGACAAUCCUAUCCUUCCCCUUUGUUAGGUUUUCAGGUUUUCUUCCUUUAAGUUGGUUGUUCUUUGUUUCAGAUUCUGGAAAAGUUUUUGGAGAUGGAAGGUUUUCAUGCCUAGACAGUAGACAGUGAGUAUUUAAAAUAUAUAUUUAUUGAUCAUCAAAUCUUGAAGAGAAUAGAGAACUUUUAUACUCCUUUUUUAUUAGUUGAAUGAUUCUAAAAGCUACUCUUUUUUUUCUGUCAUGGAUGCGUGAUUUGGUUAUCGGAGAAGAUGAAGGAUAGCAUUCCAGGAAUAAUUUGGUUACCGGAAAAGAUGAAGGAUAGUAUUUCGAUCCUGGAACCUGUGGGUUAUGGGCCUAGCACGCUUCCGCUGCGCCACUCUGAUUUGUUGAAAGUUACUUGUUGUGUUUGCUAUAUAAAUAUAAAUAUUCUGCGGACAAAAAAAUUGUUUAACGGAAACUCCUUCAAUUCUGUCCA
rnacentral:sRNA from 1 species